rnacentral:lncRNA from 1 species
GCGGGCGCGCGGCCGCGGUCCCUGUGACACGGAGUGCAGGUCGUUGCCCGGAAGGAAAGGGGAGCUGUGGCUUGGGCUUAUGAAAGAGAAGGUCCGGAAUCACCAUUGGAGGGAAGGGGAAAAGGAACCGACCAGAAUAGCAGGACUGGGAAGAGUGGGGCCCUGCUGCGCUUGUACACACCUCGCAGCAGCUGGGACGCAGGGACAGAUGAGAAGGCCGGGGACGGGGGGGACGCGCUCUGUGCCAGGGAAACAAACAGGAGCCGGGUCCGAGAGGGUACGUGGCGGGCAGACGCCCGGCCUAAGGGAGAGCCUUGCAUCAGGGCAGCGGUCUGGUUUUGGAGGCACUGGGGAUGUUUCCCGGGCAAGGGACCCAAACCACUCGGGCCACGUAAGCAGAAAGGAGAGGGAUUUAUUCUCGGACCCCAGGGUGUAUGGAGGAGCCCAAGGGCAGCGGGACCUAGGGCUGGCCUCAGGAAGUGUCUGGAACCCCAAAGCGCUGCCCAUGGAAGUUAUUCCUCUCCUGAAGACCAGCUCACCCUGCUGCCCAGGCCACAAAGCAAGGGCUGUGGCUGAGGUCCGGGGGUCGAUGAGGCAAAGGCUGACCCCAUGGAGGGUAGAGAGGCAGGUCAGUUACCAGGCGGAGAGAUGAAGGCAGCGAGAGGAACUGAGCAGAGAUGGACUGGGCCUGGGUCCCACAGGGAGGCAGCGUCACUCCUCCCGCCCUUCUAAAGAGUCCCUAACUGCUGCCUUCAGGGGUUGAGAGGUGGCUGGAGACUCCUGUCCUCCCGAUGCCAGCACUGGAGCCCUUGAUGCUUGGAGCUGCCCCAGCUCCUGCUCCCUGAGGACACAGUUCUCAGCCUGAAGGUCAGCAGUCUUGGAGUCUCCCCAGCAUAUCUGACCCCCUUCCCUAGGGGUCCCCAGAGAACAGGUGAGGCAAAAGACAGGAGCCCCACCCCAUCAAGCUCCUGCAUGCAGGGUCAUAAAGAUGAGGAUCUCUGUCAGAGUGGAACAGUAUGCAAGCCUAGACCAGGAGCGCUCCAGGCAGUGGAGCGUGCUACAUCGUCUGUCACUGGAGGCUGCAUAUCACAUCACAGUGUUUCCUGAAUUUAGUAAGAAGUGCAAAUAAUGCCUUGUUUUGUUUUUUUAAAGAUUGGCC